GGAUUUGAUCAUGGCUCAGAUUGAACGCUGGCGGGAUGCUUUACAUGCACAGUCGAACGGCAGCACGGACUUCAGUCUGGUGGCGAGUGGCGAACGGGUGAGUAAUGUAUCGGAACGUGCCUGAAGUGGCGGGGGAUAACUACGCGAAAGCGUAGCUAAUGCCGCAUACGCCCUUCGGGGGAAAGCGGGGGACCUUCCGGGCCUCACUAUUAAACGGCCGAUAUCGGAUUAAUAAGCUAGUUGGUGGGGGUAACGGCUCACCAAGGCGACGAUCCGUAGCUGGUUUGAGAGAGGACGACCAGCACACUGGGACUGAGACACGGCCCGAACUCCUACGGGAGGCAGCAGUGGGGAAUUUUGGACAAUGGGAAACCUGAUCCAGCCCCAUCCCGCGUGUGCGAUGAAGGCCUUCGGGUUUGUAAGCGCUUUUUGGCGGGAAAGAAACAGCACGGGAUAAUACCCCGUGCAACUGACAUUACCCGCAGAAAACCAGCACCGGCUAACUACGUGCCAGCAGCCGCGGUAAUACGUAGGGUGCAAGCGUUAAUCGGGCGUAAAGCGUGCAGGCGGUUCCGGAAGAAAGAUGUGAAAUCCCGAAACGCUUUGGGGCAUUUUUAACUACCGAGCUAAAUUAUUGUCAGAGGGAGGUGGAAUUCCGCGUGUAGCAGUGAAAUGCGUAUAUGCGGAGGAACUUUUCGAUGGCGAAACCUCCUGGGAUAACGACGCUCUCAUGCACAGCGUGGGGAGCAAACAGGAUUAGAUACCCUGGUAGUCCACGCCUAAACGAUGUCAACUAGCUGGUACGGUAGCCUUCGGGCCUUGUGCUAAUACUGCUGCGGCAGUUGACCGCCUGGGAAUACGGUCGCAAGAUUAAAACUCAAAGGAGAUUGACGAAAAGGACCACACAACAGGUGGAUGAUAUGGUUCAAUUCAUUUGCGCGAAAACCUUCUACGCAAGCAUAUAUUACAAGAUCCCGAAGAGAUUUGGGAGUGCUCGCAAGAGAACCGGAACACAGGUGCUGUAAGCUGUCGUCAGCUCGGCUGUCGUGAGAUGUUGGGUUAAGUCCCGCAACGAGCGCAACCCUUGUCAUUAGUUGCUACGAAAGGGCACUCUAAUGAGACUGCCGGUGACAAACCGGAAGGUGGGGAUGACGUCAAAGUCCUCAUGGCCCUUAUGGGUAGGAGCUUCACACGUCAUACAAUGGUCAGGACAGAGGGUCGCCAACCCGCGAGGAGCCAAUCCCAGAAACCCGAUCGUAGUCCGGAUCACAGUCUGCAACUCGACUGCGUGAAGUCGGAAUCGCUAGUAAUCGCGGAUCAGCAUGUCGCGGUGAAUACGUUCCCGGGUCUUGUACACACCGCCGUCACACCAUGGGAGUGGGUUUUACCAGAAGUAGUUAGCCUAACCGUAAGGAGGGCGAUUACAGUAGGAUUCCAUGGCUAGGGUGAAGUCGUAACAAGGU
rnacentral:rRNA from 1 species